rfam:Batrachochytrium dendrobatidis JEL423 supercont1.9 genomic scaffold, whole genome shotgun sequence.
UAUCGGCUAUGAUGAAUAUCGUUUAAAAAACAGUUAUCCCUAUCUUAGCACACACAAAUUACUGCUGAUAUCUUUAUACUGAGCCUGAA